rnacentral:lncRNA from 1 species
GGCCGGGCCUGCGGGGAUGCCAGGUCGCUGCGCUAGCCGCCACUUUUGUUCUGACUGAGAUCGGGUAUACGGGGUGCGCCAGGAGGGCUGAUUGGCCACGGGCAGGACCUCCAGGCGCGCAGUUGGCGCCUGUUGGGACCACUCUGCCGCGUCCCGGGCCCCUGUGUCUCUGCCUGCAACCCUCCCCAGUGACAUCAAAUGGGUCGCCAGGGAAGACUUCAGUCCGGGCUGCGCUACUUCCUCUUACCAGUAAAGUGGGGUGUCAUCUGCAGGUUGCAGACCGCCCUCGGUUCAGCCGACCAGCGUUGCAGAUGAGGAAACUGAGGCAGAAGCGGGCCGAGCAACUUGUCCAAGAUCACCCCCAAAGGAGGGAUUCGAGCACACUUCUCCCCAUCUCAAAUGAAGUUAGGAGAACAAAAUUCACAAGCGCGCCUGUACCCAGCUCGGAGGCAGCAGGGCCCAGGCACCACCCUGUCGUCUUACAAGUGGAGGGCGAUGAGUGUUGCCUCCGUGGAGCGAGAAAAGCCCUCAAAGCAGCAUUGGGGUCUACUAUGUCCCAGGCGUGCACCUGCCUCGACAGCCACCUUUUGAUCCCUCGCAGUUGCCCAGAAUGGAUGCAACCUGCCUUCCGUCUCCUUAACCUAGAGACUGCGGCUCCCAAACUCCCAGGCCCGGUGCCCAUCUCCGUCUUCCUGCGGCGGCUCUGUUGGGAAUUUCUCAAUCAUUCCUUGAGUUUUAUGUUCCUUCUCAUGUAGCAACAGAGUUAGCUUCCUGGGAAAGGAGGGAUCCUGUUUAAAACAAAUAGCUGCUAUACAAUAGUGUCAGGACACUAAAAUCAAUAUGAAGUCUGCUUUUAAAACAUAUAUACUGAAUAUAUAAAAUACAUAUACACACAUAUAUAGUGAUUGUCUUCCUGAUGUCAAGAUUGAUUUUCCUACUUUUUUCCACUUCCACUGUUCAAAAUUUGUGUAGCUCACUGGUCUUGUCCCUUCCACUUUUCAUCCCUCACAUUACCAUCAGCAUCCUUGCCCUCUGAGUCACUAGGUAUCAUUGUCCCUGGAAAACCCUAACUUAUCCUCCAAAACCCACUUCAAACGUCACCUAUGGUAGGAAGUCUUCCCUAACCUGUCUUAGGGCCUUGACAUCACUUCUGGCCAAACUCUGUGAGAGGUCGCAUAACACACCAUUGUUGUUGUUUUUUAUCCAGCCCAUUCAUGUUUUUUAUUUAUUCAUCAAAUUAUCUCUUGAGAAUCUCCUGAGACAUUGUCACUGUGCUAAUACGCUGAAUGGAGCAUAAAAUCCCUAUGCUCUAUUUCGGGAGUUAAAGUAGCAAGCCCUGGAAAUCUUAUACAGAAUUGUCAAGAAGUCACUGGGUGUGGGGCAUAUUCCUGUAAUGCCAGCAUACUUGGGAGGGUGAGGCAGGUGGAUCAAGAUUUUGAGGCCAACCUGGGCAAUUUUGUGAAAUCUCAUCUGAAAAAAAGCCAGAAUAUUUAAAAAGCUAGUCGGUACAAGAAAGGCAGGAAGCGUAUGGAGUCACAGAGUAGCACAGUGCCAGCAGCAUCCUGUGUCUGAACGUGCCAGCGGUACCCAUCUCAGCAUGGGCCUAGAAACCCUGUGAGGGCAAGGGCUGUCUCAGCCAUAGUACAGUGAUGAAUGGUUAGUAAAUGUGAUGAAUGAACAAUUGAUGAAGUGUCAAGACUGGAAGUCCUGGAGGCCUCCUGGCCAAUGAGAAGGGUGGGCCACGCCCCCAUGAAAUGGACAAGGCAUCUGGCCACCUUUGCCAGAGCCUGCCUUGGGGACACCUUGAAGCCCCCAGGACGCUAUGGUAAAUGAUUUGCACAGCAGUGCGUAUGUGAGCUCCGACAGCUCCCCUCCUGGUGGGCAGUUAUAGUUGGGAUUCACAUUUAAUUUUUUUAAAAGGAGGGAACUGAGGGAGUUAGUCUCCACAAUCCAGAGAGAACAUGUCAGGCUGAGCCUGGGUUCCAGGUCUUCAGACUCCAACUCCUCCCCCGCUUCUGCCUCUUUAUACCCAACCCUAAAAUACCUGCUCCUUAAUCCCUUUUUCAACUCAUCAUUGUCACUCGUCUCCUCUUUGUCUAGCUCCUUGGGCACGUCCCGAUACCUGUUCUUUCUUUCCUUUCUAUUUCCUUUACCUUCAGUCUGAGCCUUGCCAGAGAUGCCUGCACUCAGACACAGAUGGAGGAAGAGUAAGGGAGGAGGUACAGAGCCUGCUUGCCUGCGCCUUGCUGGGCACUACAGCUACUGAGUGCCCUAGGUGUGCCAGGGUGCUGCCACACUUUCACACUGACACACUUCCCAUGGUCCUGUAGGGAAAACUCACCCUCAUUUCAUACAGGAGAAAAUGAGGCCUAGAGGACAUGUCACCAGCCACUCAGGGGCUUCAGCGGGUUCUACACUUAAGGCCACCCACUCUUCCCGCAAACCUCCCUUGAGUGUCAGGGAACAUAGAAUUGACCAAGGGAAACCAGUUCACAGAAGGCCCAGGGGCCCAGAGGAAGUGGGGAGGGUGCUGUAAAAAAACAGAAGUGGGAAUAAAUCAAGAAAGGUCUCCAAGAAAGGUUUGUCUGAAUCCAUCAGUUGAUGAAUGGGCAACCCUAAUGUCUGUCCACACAGUGUGAUAGUAUUUGGACAUGAGAAGGAAUGACACGUUGUUACCUGUAACAACAUGGAUGAUCCCCCAAAUCAUUACAAUGAGAAAGAAGCCAAAUAUAUAUGGGGGGCAGUGCAAAUGAAAAAGCAAGGAUUUUUGUUCCAAAAGGAUUAGGAAUUUCCAGAUGGCAAAAACAGAGCGUUCAGCCAUGCAUGAGAACCUUCUGAGUUCGGGACACUGUGUGAUUACACACAUCACAUCCCGACAAAGCUAGCUGAGCCUGGGAGUUGUUGUCCUGUGGCCCAGUAGUAAUUUCUGCCUUUCCUUCCUUCCUCCCCAGGAAGGUGGAUUUAUAAAGUUUGGUCCAAAGCCACCAGGAGAAAGAACGAGGUUAGGGUUGAGGUACACGUCCAACAAGGGGCACAAUGGGCUUAAAAUAUUUUUUGGUGGUGCUGGGGAUUGAACCCAGGCCUCAAGCAUGCUAAGCAAGCACUUUACCAAUGAACUACACCCCCCGCCAGCUUUUUGUACUCUUUGAGAUGGGACCACGUCAAGAUGCCCAGGAUGGCCUUGAAUUUGUGAUCCUUCUGUCUCAGCUCCCAAAUAGCUGGAAUUACAGACACGGUGCCACCAUGCCUGGCAGAGAUUUUUUAAACAGGGAUUUUGUGUAAUUUGGUCUUUAUUGUCCCUUUCUGGGCUUAGAUUAAAAGAUAAUAUCAAAUUUGGACUUUGCUUUCAAGCCAUGCAGAACAUUGGGGAGAAAAACACAAAUAGCAAUUGAAAGGCAGCAAGGAGCACACAGUCAUAAUAGCAAAAGGUAAUACCUGCUAUUCCUGGAUGGGAGUCCUUGGGAGCCAAGGGGUGAUGGAGGAUGGGAGAGAAGUCUCUGAAAGCACAAGGAUUGGAGUUCAAUCCCCGGUACCAAAACAAAACAAAAAACCCCAAAAACCAAAACAAACAAACAAAAUGUGGCAGAGACGAAUUCCUUCUCAGGUGCAGAAAUAGUUGAGGCGUGACUCGGAACACAAACAAAGUGCCUAGCACCCCAGACAGGCAGCAGGAGCUCCAAGGAGGAGGUGUUUGCCUUUCCCUCCUGCCUCCUCUCACCUUCAGAGUCUCUGCUGGUCUCUUGUAGGAAUGAAGUACAGCUAAGACUAGACAGUGUUAAUGUUUUGACAUCUCAGCUCAAGGUUUUUAAAAAAGCCAGCACCCUGUCCUGCUGCCCUUUAUGCAGGACCACUUUCCUGAAUUUAGCAUAUAGGUGACUGCGUGCAAAGUGUGCAUUUUUACUAAGCCAAAACCAACCACUUGACAUGGUCAACACUUGGCGGUGUGUAGCCCUCCAAGAUGACAAGUCCAUAUGUUUCAUCUCUAGUUCACUUGGGUACUUGACUAUUAAUGAAAUGUUUUGAAUAUUUAGACAUUUUACAUAAAUGGUACAUUGCAUGACCCUUUCUGGAAACCGCUUCUUUGCAUUCAAUAUUGUUUUCUUUAAUUGUGGUAAAAUGUACAUAACCAUUUUAACCAAUCUUAAGUACAUUUGGAUUCUUGUGCGAUUACCUGUCUUCAGAAUAUUUUAUCUUCCGAUCUAAAACUCUGUGUUCAUUAAACAAUAAUGUCACAUCUUUCCCUGAGCCCUUGGCAACCACCAUUCUAACGCAGAGUCUGUCUAGGUUGUAACGUGUCAGAAUUUCCUCUCCUGCUUUUGUUUUUCUAAGUCAUUUGGACAUAUGAAGUGUGAGCAGAAAUAUACAAGUCAAGAAGCACUAAAUAUUGUCCAGUAUAAACAAAUAAAGGGACGUAAAACACAAAAAGUUUAAUUCUUGAGA